AACGCGAAGAACCUUACCCAGGCUUGACAUCCUUGGAAUUUCUCCGAAAGGAGAGAGUGCUUUAUUGAGCCAAGUGACAGGUGCUGCAUGGCCGUCGUCAGCUCGUGUCGUGAGAUGUUUGGUUAAGUCCAUCAACGAGCGCAACCCUUGUAGUUAGUUGAAUUUUUCUAGCUAGACUGCCCUGGUAACAGGGAGGAAGGGGGGAUGAUGUCAGGUCAGUAUUGCCCUUACGUCUGGGGCUACAAACACGCUACAAUGGCCGGUACAAAGGGCAGCCAAGUCGCGAGACGGAGCAAAUCCCAUCAAAGCCGGUCUCAGUUCGGAUAGCAGGCUGAAACUCGCCUGCUUGAAGUCGGAAUCGCUAGUAACGGUAGGUCAGCUAUACUACCGUGAAUACGUUCCCGGGCCUUGUA
rnacentral:rRNA from 1 species